rnacentral:piRNA from 1 species
UAAAAAAAAAUGUCAAUAAUGGCCAAACU